rnacentral:rRNA from 1 species
UACAGAGGGUGCGAGCGUUAAUCGGAAUUACUGGGCGUAAAGGGUGCGUAGGUGGUUAGAUAAGUUAGGUGUGAAAGUCCAGGGCUUAACCUUGGGAUUGCGCCUAAUACUGUUUAGCUAGAGUACUGUAGAGGGAGGUGGAAUUUCCGGUGUAGCGGUGAAAUGCGUAGAUAUCGGAAGGAACAUCGGUGGCGAAGGCGACUUUCUGGACAGAUACUGACACUGAGGCACGAAAGCAUGGGGAGCAAACAG